UACAGAGGGUGCAGGCGUUAAUCGGAAUUACUGGGCGUAAAGCGUGCGUAGACGGUCAUGUAAGUCGGGUGUGAAAGCCCCGGGCUCAACCUGGGAAUUGCAUUCGAGACUGCAUGGCUAGGGUGCGGAAGAGGGAAGCGGAAUUUCCGGUGUAGCGGUGAAAUGCGUAGAUAUCGGAAGGAACACCAGUGGCGAAAGCGGCUCACUGGACCAUAACUGACGCUGAGGCACGAAAGCUAGGGGAGCAAACAGG
rnacentral:rRNA from 1 species